ACCUAUGUAUUAUGUUUUUGUCUGUUCUCCUCUAUAUACAAACACGUGUGGAAAUUUAUACUAUUUAUACGAUUAAAAAGUUUAUAAUGAAUUCAAAUAAAAAAGUGGAGUAUUUAAUAACCGAUACAAGUGCAUUUAUAAAAAAUGCAGCCCUACACGAAAUAGGUAAUAAUAUAAUUACCGAACCAUCGGUUGUGAAUGAAAUCACAAGCAAACGACAGUUGAGAAGGUUGGUCGCUCUACCUUAUGAUUUGAAGGUUCAGGAAGUCUUUCCAGAACACAUUAAAUUUGUGACGGAAUUCGCCAAGAAAACGGGAGAUUAUCCGAGUCUUUCGGCCACUGAUAUUAAAGUCAUAGCAUUGACUUAUCAACUCGAGAAGGAGAAAGUUGGAAUUCAACAUUUAAAAACAGCUCCGGAAAUUGUUCGAACACUCAACGAUCCCGAAGCACUACAACAAAUUCAUCCCAAAUGUCUCGCUGGUUUCUAUCUUCCGGAAAAUGAGGAAGAUGAAGAAGAAGAAGAAAGGGUUGACACCAAAGCGGAAAAAGUGGAGAGAUUAUUUCAAAAACUAAAGGAGACUGGAAAAUUGGAAAAGGAGGAUAUUGAAGAUACAAAUUCAAAAGAUGUGAAGAAUUCAUCUGAUAAAUGUACCGAUAGUUCAUCAGAAUCAAAUUACGAUACGGCAACGUCCGAUAUUGAAGUUCCAAUUGAUUUGGUAGAUAAAUUUGGAAAGUUGGACUGCAAGGAAACGGACUUAAUGGUUGAUAAUAAUUACGACUUGAAUGAUAUUCUUCGUCCUGUUAAAAAUUGUAAUGACGGCAGUUUGUGCAGUGAUUCUGGAAAUGAUGCCGAGGAAGAGGACAGUGAUGAGGAUGAUGAUGAUGAUGAUGACGGAUGGAUAACUCCCGGAAAUAUCGGAGUCAUAAAAAAGCAAAUGGAAUCAGAUGUAAUUGAUGAAAAACCGGCAGUCGUAGCGUGUCUCACUAUGGACUUUGCGAUGCAAAAUGUCUUGAUGCAAAUUGGACUAAAUAUUGCCUCUCUCGACGGAAAAGUGAUAAAACAGAUGCGAACUUUUAUACUCAGAUGUUAUGCGUGUUUCCGAACAACGGGAAUAAUGACAAAAGUCUUUUGUCCCCAUUGUGGUAAUAAGACGCUGAAGAAAGUUUCGAUUUCCAUCGACGAAAAUGGAAAACAACAUAUGCACAUUAAUUUUCGAAGGCCUCUUUCAUCAAAAGGGAAAAAGUUUUCAUUGCCAACACCUCAUGGUGGAAAACACGCGAAUAAUCCGAUUUUAUGUGAGGAUCAACCUUUACCAGAUCAACGACCAUCGAGAUUGGCACGAAUGAAAAAUGAUCCCUUAAAGGACGAUUAUAUCGCGGGAUAUUCGCCAUUUGUAACACGCGAUGUUAAUUCAAAAUCUGCGAUGUUGGGAAUUCGGAGCGGAAGGGGUGAAUUCAAGCAUUGGAUGAAAAGAAAUCCCAAUGAAUGUAGAAGGAGGCGAAAAUGAUCAUAGAUGAAGAAUUUUUUUAAAUAAUAAAUUUCAAUAAUUGAGAGGCAUUUAAAGUGGAACCACUCUGAUUGGUCAAGACGUUUCAUUGAAAGUCAGUCUUACUACUCACUUCACAUUGAUAGUUAUCCAUGUUACACGAAGCGCAUGAGUUGUACGUACAUAACCUGUGUAGUUGUGUUAGAAAGUAGAGGGGCUGAUUUUCUAAACAACCGGGUGUAAACACUCAAAAGGUUCAUUUUUAAACAUUGAUAACAAAAAAACCUCUAAGGUCCCUUUUCUCGUGGAGCGUCACAUAUAUAUUUUGUCUGUUCGCAUUUAUUUUGUCUGUUCGCAGUUAUUUUGUCUCUUCGCAGUAAAAAGGGACCAAGCGCUUCCCGAUGCGAGCGCUACUUGGAAUUGAGUCCCGAGCAACCUUCACAGCGGGGGUCACUCGGACCCUUAAACCCUCAUUAAGGAAAACUGUUAAUGACUUUUCUAUAAUAAUAAAAAUAUAAAUUUUUAAAUAGUAA